rnacentral:lncRNA from 1 species
CAGGAAGUGAAUAUUGUCUGUUUUCUGUUUAGCUCCUCAGCCUGCUUUUUAUGAGGCCAUGAUAUUAAUGGCACUUGGAAUGCAUUGUUUGUCUCCAUGUUCACUUAAAUGUCAUCUUUGCUUGCAUCCCAGCUGCUCAGAUUCCAACUUGUUUCUUCUUCCUCUGACCCUCACCGAAUGAUGUGAAAAGAAAAACUGAAGCAAGUUUUGGACUUUCUGCAAAUCAGUGGGCACGAUGAGUUCCUGGCCAGCUCCUACACGGAUUAGCAGAGAGACCACAAAGCUGGAGAGAGGAGUGUCUUCUUCACGAGACCAUCAGUGAAACUUCUUCCUGCUAGGAUUUUCCUGGUUGUUUCUUUCCCUCAUUAUCAGGGACGCACUCCAGGGUAUCUCCUUAAAUUUCCAGAUUUCUUUUGUUUAAAUUAAAGCGUGCCCUCAAUGGAAGCCUCAUGGUGUGGUGUAAUUGGACAGUUUGAAUCUUUGGAGAAAUCCAUUUCAUCUCAAAAUUGUUUCAGAAGACUAAGAUGGUAUUCUUUGUAGCGAGUUCCUAUUGGCAGUAUUGUCAUAUUAUCAGUAAUAUUAACCUUUUAGUUCUAGUACU